rnacentral:misc_RNA from 1 species
AACGAGGCCGACCUGCGGCUGAGUUACCUGCGGAGGGAUCAUUAAAAAAGGGUCAUUUGACCCAUUUUUUUUAAAAACUCACUCUCAGUUCUACUGGAAGUAGGUUUUUUUCAAACACCAAAUUUUAAACUAUUCGUCUUUUGACAAAACUUAAAAAUUAAUAAAUAAAACUUUCAACAACGGAUCU